rnacentral:lncRNA from 1 species
CGAACAAAACUUUGUACAGGUGAAAUAUUUUCAUAACCGAACAAAGGACACUAGAUCUACUUUACUAAAUUGCAGUGGGGCGUUCUUUCAACUCUCCAUCCCAUCACUCUCUCUUCCCCAUUUCUUCUCAACCUUUCUCUUCUCACCCUGAAUUCUUGAAUUACUUACACAGAAAUGCAUACAACAAAAAAAAGAACAGGGUAGCCAUGGCUUGUAUCCAAUCUACACGCAGAUUCGUGUCGACUGUCCUUCACAUUUUUUCAGUAAGCUAGAUAGUAUAGUAUGUAUAUAUAUAGAUAUACCCAGAGGCCCUGUAAUAAAACAACUACUUCAAUUUCUCUGUUUCUUCUUAAAGCUUAAAUUUCCAUUAAUGGCGGCCAUAACCAAGCUUCUGAAGAAAAACAAGUCCAUACACAGUUGCUAUAAUUUCACCAAAACCAAGCUAUUUUCAUCCGAACCUUUGGUGGAUUCCCCUUCUUUGGUACAAAGAAUCAAAGAUCUGCGGUAUCCGCCGUGGAAACUCGAAUGACAUCGUUUUCUGCAAGAGAAGGGCGAUUCUCUUUAUGAGUAUUUCAAUUGUUCCACUUCUGAAGUCGAGGGCUGAAGCUGUUAAAAGUUUGGCAGCAGGCGAGUUGGGUUUUCGUAUUUCCUUUCAUUUUCGAGUUUUCUUGCUAAAGACUGAUUAUACGUUGGAUUUUAGGUUUGACUUAAUUGAAAUCUUCUUGCAAGCAAAUUGAAAAUUUUGGCGAAAUGGGUUUGUUUUUCUGUUACUUGAUAUUGUUUUCCUCGGAUAGGAUUGGCCGUUCUUAGACAAAUUAUAUUGGUUUAUUGUUUUCCAUUCAAUUGAAGUAACUGGUCUGCACUGGCAUUGUUAAUCACCACAAUUAUCUCUUAUUCAAUACACUCUGUUCC